rnacentral:rRNA from 1 species
UACGUACCGUACGAACGUUAUUCGGAAUUACUGGGCUUAAAGGGUUUGUAGGCGGCCUUGUAAGUCAGGUGUGAAAUCCCUCGGCUCAACCGAGGAACAGCGCUUGAUACUGCAAGGCUUGAGGGAGACAGGGGUAAGCGGAACUGAUGGUGGAGCGGUGAAAUGCGUUGAUAUCAUCAGGAACACCGGUGGCGAAAGCGGCUUACUGGGUCUCUUCUGACGCUGAGGAGCGAAAGCGUGGGGAGCAAACAGG